rnacentral:rRNA from 1 species
AAAACAUGUCUUAAUGUUAAUUUUUAUUAAGUCUGGCCUGCUCAAUGAUUUAAUAUUAAAUAGCCGCAGUACUUUGACUGUGCGAAGGUAGCAUAAUCAUUUGUCUUUUAAUUGAAGGCUUGUAUGAAUGGUUGGAUGAAAAGACAACUUUCUUUAUAUUAAUGUUUGAAUUUAAUUUUUAGGUUAAAAAGCUUAAAUUAUUAAAUGGGACGAGAAGACCCUAUAGAAUUUUAUUUUAAGUAUAUUAAUUUAUUUUUUGGUUAUAUAAUUUAUUCUAAUGUAUUUUAAAAUUUUGUUGGGGUGACAGUAAGAUUAUUAAAACUCUUAUAAUUUAUUAUUUACUAUUUUGUAUUUUUAAGAUCCUUUAUUAUGGAUAUUUAGAUUAAAUUACCUUAGGGAUAACAGCGUAAUUUUCUUGGAGAGUUCAUAUCGAUAAGGGAGUUUGCGACCUCGAUGUUGGAUUAAAAUUAGAUUUAAGUGCAGCAGCUUAAGUUUCUAGGUCUGUUCGACCUUUAAUUUUUUACAUGAUC